GGUGGCGCAGAUGUUCGCGAAGGCUGGAUUCUACAGCACCUCCCAAGAGGUGGUUGAGAUGAUCACUUCAGAGAACAAGGUGACCGGGAACACGAGGUCAAUGGGGAAACGCUUUGAGAUAUUGUUGGGAGAGACGGAGUUGACUUGUUCUGUCUGAUCCUUGUUAUUAUUGUUGGCGGGGCCAGCAAGGAGCCACAGCGAGGAAACUCCCCGCCAGGCUGGCACAGUCAGUUGCAUUUGCAGCUGGCCACGCUGCCGAAUAACCUGGGCAACUGGGAGUGGAUCCGGAGGCGGAAAGCUGUUCCGAUGGUUCCUUAAGCCUCUAUCGCUUUUGUUGAUGCUUUGCGGUCGAGAAACACAUGGAUAAUAUUAUUGUCUCGUACUCGAAGGUAUCAUCACCAUGGUGGUUGACCACUACUCCGUAGAGAGAUAGACAUUGAACAAAAGCGACUCGGUUUGGCAUGUACGCUGUACGGAGUAGGCUGUAUGGUGGAGCGAUUCCUACCCAUUUCUAGCUUAGAAGUUAGAUAAAGAAGGCGUGG
rnacentral:sRNA from 1 species